rnacentral:rRNA from 1 species
AACGAACGCUGGCGGCGUGGCUAAGACAUGCAAGUCGUACGAUAUGUUGUAGCAAUAUGACAUAUAGUGGCGGACGGGUGAGUAAUGAAUAGGUAACGUACCCCGGGGACAGGGAUAACGUCGGGCGAAAGCCCUUUGCGAAAGUGACGGUAAUACCUGGUGACGUCUUAGAGGGACAUCCCUUUAAGAUCAUAGGGUGGGGAUCUUCGGACCUACCGGCCUGGGAGCGGCCUAUUUCCUAUCAGCAGUUGGUGAGGUAAUGGCUCACCAAGGCAACGACGGGUAGCCGGACUGAGAGGUUGUUCGGCCACAUCGGGACUGAGACACUGCCCGGACAUCUACGGAUGGCUGCAGUAACGAAUAAUCCGCAAUGGGCGAAAGCCUGACGGUGCGACGCCGCGUGGAGGAUGAAUUCCUUCGGG